rnacentral:rRNA from 1 species
GAUGAACGCUGGCGGCGUGCCUAAUACAUGCAAGUCGAGCGAACGGACGAGAAGCUUGCUUCUCUGAUGUUAGCGGCGGACGGGUGAGUAACACGUGGAUAACCUACCUAUAAGACUGGGAUAACUUCGGGAAACCGGAGCUAAUACCGGAUGAUAUUUUGAACCGCAUGGUUCAAAAGUGAAAGACGGUCUUGCUGUCACUUAUAGAUGGAUCCGCGCUGCAUUAGCUAGUUGGUAAGGUAACGGCUUACCAAGGCAACGAUGCAUAGCCGACCUGAGAGGGUGAUCGGCCACACUGGAACUGAGACACGGUCCAGACUCCUACGGGAGGCGGCAGUAGGGAAUCUUCCGCGAUGGGCGAAAGCCUGACGGAGCAACGCCGCGUGAGUGAUGAAGGUCUUCGGAUCGUAAAACUCUGUUAUUAGGGAAGAACAUAUGUGUAAGUAACUGUGCACAUCUUGACGGUACCUAAUCAGAAAGCCACGGCUAACUACGUG